AAGGAUCAUUAAUUGUAUAACGGGGGCCGGCGAGGGAUUGCGCACUUCGGUGCGCCUUUCUUCCCCGCCCUGUCUGAUACUACCCAUGUCUUUUGCGUACCAAUUGUUUCCUCGGUGGGCUUGCCCGCCGGUUGGACACUAUAAAACCUUUUGUAAUUGCAGUCAGCGUCAGAAAAACAUAAUAAUUACAACUUUCAACAACGGAUCUCUUGGUUCUGGCAUCGAUGAAGAACGCAGCGAAAUGCGAUAAGUAGUGUGAAUUGCAGAAUUCAGUGAAUCAUCGAAUCUUUGAACGCACAUUGCGCCCCUUGGUAUUCCAUGGGGCAUGCCUGUUCGAGCGUCAUUUGUACCCUCAAGCUCUGCUUGGUGUUGGGUGUUUGUCCCGCUUUGCGCGUGGACUCGCCUUAAAGCAAUUGGCAGCCGGCAAUCUGGUUAUAGAGCGCAGCACAUUUUGCGCUUCUUGCCAUGGAUGUCGGCAUCCAUCAAGUACAUUUUUUUUGCUCUUGACCUCGGAUCAGGUAGGGAUACCCGCUGAACUUAA
rnacentral:rRNA from 1 species